rnacentral:rRNA from 1 species
AUGGCGAAGGCUUCAUCAAGUGCAUCUGUGGUCGCCGUGCUGGCGGCCGUGCUGAUGGUGGGCAUGGGAUUGCCGGCGGCGGCAGCGGAGACAACGGAGGCGGAGGCGGAGACGCCGGCGUGCAAGGACUGCCCCACGUACUGCAGCUCGAGGUGCGGCCGCGGCAUACCCUCCUUGGCGUCCUCGGAGAACUGGUAUGCAUGCAAGGGCCCGUGUGGCUCGGCGCCGGACUGCAUGGAGACCUGCAAGUCCACGGGCCCCGCGCGGUGCACGGGCCGCUGCAGACGCUCAUGUAGCCACGUCGACUACGAGGCUACGUGCAGGAAAAAGUGCUGCCUUUCACGCCAGCAGUGCGACGAACAGAUCAACAGCAUCAUCCAGAUCUGCACUGCCGGCUGCACCACCGGCUGCAACACAACCUGCGUCAACACCUGA